rnacentral:rRNA from 1 species
GAUGAACGCUAGCGGUGCGUCUGACACAUGCAAGUCGAGCGAUCGUAGCAAUACGGUAGCGGCGAACGGCUGAGUAACACGUGGGAACCUACCCCCGGGACAGGGAUAACAGUUCGAAAGGACUGCUAAUACCAGAUAAUGUGCAUUGCACAAAAGGUCCGCCGCCUGGGGAGGGCCCGCGGCCCAUUAGCUAGUUGGUGAGGUAAUGGCUUACCAAGGCGACGAUGGGUAGCUGGUCUAAGAGGAUGAUCAGCCAGACUGGGACUGCGACACGGCCCAGACUCCUACGGGAGGCAG